AACGUAGGAGGCAAGCGUUAUCCGGAAUUACUGGGCGUAAAGGGCGUCUAGGCGGAAGGGAAAGCGGGAUGUGAAAGCUCCUGGCUCAACUGGGAGAGUGCGUACCGAACUAUCUUUCUAGAGGCCAGGCGAUGGGGGUGGAAUUCCCGGUGGAGUGGUGAAAUGCGUAGAGAUCGGGAGGAACACCAGUGGCGCAAGCGGCCCCCAAGCCUGAGCCUGACGCUGAAGCGCGACAGCGUGGGGAGCAAAC
rnacentral:rRNA from 1 species